rnacentral:rRNA from 1 species
GAAAAUAAGGGGCCGGGGGGCGGGGUAAUACGUGGGGGGCAAGCGUUAAGCCGAAUUCGUGGGGGUAAAGCGGGCGCAGGCGGGUAUAUAAGACAGAGGUGAAAGCCCCGGGCUCAACCUGGGAACUGCAUUUGUGACUGUAUAGCUAGAGUACGGCAGAGGGGGAUGGAAUUCCGCGUGUAGCAGUGAAAUGCGUAGAUAUGCGGAGGAACACCGAUGGCGAAGGCAAUCCCCUGGGCCUGUACUGACGCUCAUGCACGAAAGCGUGGGGAGCAAACAGGAUUAGAUACCCCAGUAGUC